AUAAAAGUACGCCCUGGGGGAAGCGCAGAGAAGCCCCAAGGGACGGACCCAGCUUGACAGACUGUAUUUCCCUCUGACGGGCCACAGGUUUGUGAUUUCACACUUGGGCGGCACUUGCCUAACUUGCUGCGCUGCACCGCAGCUCUGAAUCUGACUCCAGGAUGCCAUUGGACUGGACAAACAAACAUGCAGACAUCAGCUCUGACUGUCCCCAGGACCUGUGCUUCGACAAGCUGAUCAAGCAGUGCCUCAGCUGCCAUCUGUAUGGGACCUCCAACGCAGACACAAGAGACCUCACCAGCAUGGCCCCCACGCCAACUCAGCUACCCCCACAUCCUUCAGGAAACAUGCCAAGCCCAGUUUUGGUCUUUGGCAUCCCUGUUCUCAUGGGGCUAGUCCUGGUAUUGGCAUCAGUUUGGGGAUUUAUUACCUGGAAAAUGAGAAGGAGGCGGAGGAAAAGGGAGAAACCAAACAAAGAAUCCAAGGGUAAGUGUCCCCUGUCUCUCCCUUGUCUCAUAUAUGUAUUCCCACACACAGACUCAGGGUCUGGAGAGGACCUUCAGGACCAUCUCUAGCCUGAUCUCCUACAUGACAGGCCCUAGAACCUCAACCAGUAGUAUCCUUGUCAAGACCAACCCUUUGCAGCUGAAUUAAGGGCUAUCACUGGACAGAUAUUCUGUCCUAAUUGACUAAAGACUCAGCAUGAAAGACAGUUUUUCACAUCCCCUGAAGUCUUUCCAAUGGUUCAUUACUGUCACUUAAAAUAUUGUGCCUUACUUGCAGCAUACACUCCGCUGACUUUUUCUUCAAACCACUGGAUUUUGUUAGGUCUUUGUCUUCUAGACAGAAAGAAGAUAUCUGAGACCCGUUUCCACCCUGGUUCUCUCACGGUGCACGUGGUCCAGAUUUAGUCCCUUUCCAGUGGCCGCUUUGGUUAACUUGGUUAACUUGUGCAAGAACAGGUUAUCUGGAUAACUUGAGAGGGUCCAGAGGAGGGCUACCUGUAUGGUUAAGGGCCUGCAGGUAAAAUCCUACAAGGAGAGAUUGGGACCUGAAUUUCUUCAGUCUCAGCAAAAGAAGGCUGAGAGGAGAUCUUGUGGCCAUCUACAAAUUCAUCGGGGGGCGGCAAGGAAUAGGGGGCACUCUGUUCACCAGGACACCCCUUGGGGUUACUAAGAACAAUGGCCAUAAACUGACAGGGAGUAGAUAUAGUUUAGACAUUACAAAAAAUUUCUUUACAGGGAGGGUUGUCAAAAUCUGGAAUGGGCUUCUGAGGGAGGUGGUGCUCUCCCCUACCCUGGAGGUCUUUAAGAGGUCAUAGGCUUAGCUGGGGUCAUCUGACCCCAGUGCUCUUUCCUGCCUAGGGCAGGGGUUGGACUCAGUGAUCUACUAAGGUCCCUUCUGACCCUAAAAAUCUAUGAAAUUUAUGAUGCUGGAGGGUUCUUUACUCUAGAACAGCAGUUCCCGAACUCUGGCAGAUUGUGCACCACCAAUUUAAAAUGAUACAACCUUAAGUGCCACCAGCAAAUUUUUGUCAUCUAAAGUCAUUAUACUAAAUCUGUUAAUGCGUACCACUGACAGGCUGUCUGUGUACCACUAGUGGCACGUGUACCACAGAUUGGGAACCGCUGCUCUAGAACCCUCCACCAUCUGAUAACUUCUUCCUGCCUAGUUGCUUGUAGGCAGUGGUUAAAUUACCUCUUAACCUUCUCCUCCAUAAACUACUGUGAAUAAUUGGGCUCCAUUCAUAAGGUGAUAAGAUCUUCCAGGACUCUGGGUGAGAUAAGUCAAGGCAAAAUACUAUUCCAGCUUUCUUCUGUCAGAUCUGCCAAUUUGAGGCAGAAGUUUUAAAGCUUUUGUUCAAAAAGUAAGAGUGAUAUUUCCAAAGCAGGUUCAACCCAGAUGAAAUUUUGUGGGCACAAACGUUGUCCAACUCCUAUAUUCCGUACUUUUAUCUGUAUUCACAGAGUAACGAGUUCUCUUACUUGUUACACAGGCUGCUCCAUGGAAAUGCAGUAGGGUUCUGUAGGAAAUGUGGAAAUACUCUAGAAACUGACAGACUUGAACAGAGAAGGAGAUCUUUUAUACACAGUCUCGUGAAACGCCUUACAAAACUUGGUUGCAGAGUUAUUAAUUGCUAUUUGAUUCUACAAAAUGACUCAUAACUCCAUAGAAAAGUUGUCGUUUUUGCCAACGCGUGUUCAUGUUCUCAAAGCUGCACUGGUGCAAAUGGAUGUCAGGAUUUGAAAAUCUGGCCUGAGUUUUUGCACUUUUUCUCUGUAGAGAAAAAUUUCUGAAUGUGUUCAGUGCAGCAAAAUGGACCUGGGUCUGCAAAUAAAAAAAACAAAUAGUUUACA
ensembl:lncRNA